UCGGGACCGGGUGAGUAAUGGCAUAGGAAACUGCCCAGUAGUGGGGGAUAGCCCGGGGAAACCCGGAUUAAUACCGCGUACGCCCUUCGGGGGAAAGCAGGGGAUCUUCGGACCUUGCGCUAUUGGAUGUGCCUAUGUCGGAUUAGCUAGUUGGUGGGGUAAAGGCCUACCAAGGCGACGAUCCGUAGCUGGUCUGAGAGGAUGAUCAGCCACAUCGGGACUGAGACACGGCCCGAACUCCUACGGGAGGCAGCAGUGGGGAAUAUUGGACAAUGGGGGCAACCCUGAUCCAGCCAUGCCGCGUGUGUGAAGAAGGCUUUCGGGUUGUAAAGCACUUUCAGUGAGGAGGAAAACUCUGCGACUAAUACUCGUAGGGCUUGACGUUACUCACAGAAGAAGCACCGGCUAACUCCGUGCCAGCAGCCGCGGUAAUACGGAGGGUGCAAGCGUUAAUCGGAAUUACUGGGCGUAAAGCGCGCGUAGGUGGUUUGAUAAGCGAGAUGUGAAAGCCCCGGGCUUAACCUGGGAACGGCAUUUCGAACUGUCAGGCUAGAGUAUGGUAGAGGGUAGUGGAAUUUCCUGUGUAGCGGUGAAAUGCGUAGAUAUA
rnacentral:rRNA from 1 species